rnacentral:rRNA from 1 species
UCAGGCCUAACACAUGCAAGUCGAACGAGACCUUCGGGUCUAGUGGCGCACGGGUGCGUAACGCGUGGGAAUCUGCCCUUGGGUUCGGAAUAACAGUUAGAAAUGACUGCUAAUACCGAAUGAUGACUCCGGUCCAAAGAUUUAUCGCCCAGGGAUGAGCCCGCGUCGGAUUAGCUAGUUGGUGAGGUAAAGGCUCACCAAGGCGACGAUCCGUAGCUGGUCUGAGAGGAUGAUCAGCCACACUGGGACUGAGACACGGCCCAGACUCCUACGGGAGGCAGCAGUGGGGAAUAUAAAGAAUGGGCGAAAGCCUGAUCCAGCAA